rnacentral:rRNA from 1 species
UACGUAGGGCGCGAGCGUUGUCCGGAAUUAUUGGGCGUAAAGAGCUCGUAGGUGGCUUGUCGCGUCUGCCGUGAAAGCCCGUGGCUUAACUACGGGUCUGCGGUGGAUACGGGCAGGCUAGAGGCUGGUAGGGGCAAGCGGAAUUCCUGGUGUAGCGGUGAAAUGCGCAGAUAUCAGGAGGAAUACCGGUGGCGAAGGCGGCAUCCUGGACCGGCAUUGACGCUGAUGAGCGAAAGCUAGGGGAGCAAACGGG